rnacentral:rRNA from 1 species
AUUGAACGCUGGCGGCAUGCCUAACACAUGCAAGUCGACCGAGUGGCGGACGGGUGAGUAAUGUAUGGGAAACUGCCUGUUGGAGGGGGUUAACUACUGGAAACGGUAGCUAAUACCGCAUACCAUCCGAUUAGCCCAUAUGGGAUUGGCUGGUAGGUGAGGUAACGGCUAACCUAGGCGACGAUCCCUAGCUGGUCUGAGAGGAUGACCAGCCACACUGGGACUGAGACACGGCCCAGACUCCUACGGGAGGCAGCAGUGGGGAAUAUUGCACAAUGGGCGCAAGCCUGAUGCAGCCAUGCCGCGUGUAUGAAGAAGGCCUUCGGGUUGUAAAGUACUUUCAGCGGGGAGGCGUUACCCACAGAAGAAGCACCGGCUAACUCCGUGCCAGCAGCCGCGGUAAUUC